GGGAGCUUCCUUCCGGGUGCUGGGGCCAGCUCAGCUUCUCUGCCCUAGGAGCCUGGGGUGGAGGCGAGGGAGCUUCCUUCUGUGUGCUGGGACUGGCUGAGCUUCUCUCUCCAUUAUCUCAUUUAAAAGUUAUAAUUGCUUCAUAUUAUCAAUUAUCAGUGCUCAAGUUUUCCCAAUAGACCAAAAAAAAAAAAAAAAAAAAAAAAAAAAAAACUUUUAAAAAAAAAAAUGCUUACUUUAAGAAGUACAAACAUAUGGGGUAAAGGAAACUUUCUAGACCUAAGAAAAGAUAAUUUCCUUACCAAAUAUUUCAGUAAAUGGAGAGGAUAACCAUUGCUGAGGUUGGAUUAAUGGCAAAGAAGAAGAAUAAUGAGAUAUAUGCCAAAUGCAAAGUGGAUGUGAUAAGAAAAGAUUCUUUUUCCACAAGAAAAAUCCAAGAAUCUUGGAAGAAAAAGCAACUGAGCUAAAACCAGAACUCAGUGAUUUUGUGAGAAAAAACCAUGUUCAAGGAAGCAUGUGAGAAGAAAACUGCUGCAGAUUCCACUUCAGGAGGUGGAGCAAUUUGACAGCUAAGUGAGAUUCUAAGUAAU
rnacentral:lncRNA from 1 species